GCACGUAGUUAGCCGGCUCCUUCUUCUUACGGUACCGUCAUCCACGCGGGCUGUUAACCCGCGCGAUUUCGUUCCGUCCGAAAGUGCUUUACAACCCGAAGGCCUUCUUCACACACGCGGCAUGGCUGGAUCAGGGUUGCCCCCACUGUCCAAAAUUCCCCA
rnacentral:rRNA from 1 species